ensembl:lncRNA
GAGGGGUCUGUAGGGGUCUAGUGUUAUAUAGAGGGGUCUGUAGGGGUCUAGUGUUAUAUAGAGGAGUCUGUCUGUAUUGGUAUAUAGAGAGAUCUGUAGUGUUAUAUAGAGAGGUCUGUCUAGUGUUAUAUAGAGGUCUGUAGUGUUAUAUAGAGAGGUCUGUCUGUGGUGUUAUAUAGAGAGGUCUGUCUGUGGUGUUAUAUAGAGAGGUCUGUCUUUAGUGUUAUAUAGAGAGGUCUUUAGUGUUAUAUAGAGAGGUCUGUAGUGUUAUAUAGAGAGGUCUGUCUGUGGUGUUAUAUAGAGAGGUCUGUCUGUGGUGUUAUAUAGAGAGGUCUGUCUGUAGUGUUAUAUAGAGAGAUCUGUAGUGUU